CAGCAGCCGCGGUAAUACGUAGGGUGCGAGCGUUAAUCGGAAUUACUGGGCGUAAAGCGUGCGCAGGCGGUUGUGUAAGACAGGUGUGAAAUCCCCGGGCUUAACCUGGGAACUGCGCUUGUGACUGCACAGCCAGAGUAUGGCAGAGGGGGGUGGAAUUCCACGUGUAGCAGUGAAAUGCGUAGAGAUGUGGAGGAACACCGAUGGCGAAGGCAGCCCCCUGGGCCAAUACUGACGCUCAUGCACGAAAGCGUGGGGAGCAAACAGGAUUAGAUACCCCCGUAGUCCCUGUCUCUUAUAC
rnacentral:rRNA from 1 species